GACCAAUCACAGGCCGGCUCAGGUCGGGGCAGGGCAGGUUGGAUAGUGAAAGGAAUGAGCUGAUUGGUUGCUAUGGGCAAAUGCCUCAGUUGAGGUUCACAGAACUAGUGUUGCUCAUGGCAACCAGGCGAGGAUCUAUGGUUGUCUUCGCCAGCACUUGAGGAUAAAUGUUACAGUUCAGUAAAACAGAAUACUGUAUGUCAAGCGUGAAGAAUAUGCCUUUUGUGUGGAAUGUAGGUGUGAAAAUAGUCCAUUCUGAAUUCCAGAUGUAUCAGAAAUGUUAUUGCUCUGCGGUGGUGGAAAUCUUGUUGGAAUGUCUUGCUUAAUGUACUCCGUGACUUAGGAAGAAAACACAUUUCUGUUCCAGUACUUAGCUAAAGUAUACAACUUUACCCACUGCAAUCAGGUGGCCAUGAAGUGACAAGCAACUUGAACGUAGGAUUCGCUGUGGAGAAUGUCCUCUGCCGAAUGAAUGGCGCAUACCGGAAGUGGGACUCCUGCACUUCCGGCCGGGCGCCUUAUACAGACGAAACUCUCUGCUAUAGGCGCACAGAUCGCGCUACUCAGCACAACGCUCCCAGCAGCUAGCUGCUCUUCUAACCGCACACCUCCGCAGCAAUCAAACUCUGAGGAAGGUCCUAGAGUUGGACCGAAACGUCAGUAGUAGAGAUGAACGAACUUUUGAAAAAUACGAUUCGGCCGAUUUGCCGAAUUUUCUGGAAAAAAAUUUUUGAAUUUGUUUGCGGAGAAUCUAUAUUAAAAACAGCUAUUUCUGGCCUACAGAGAGCCUCAGUAGGGGUGCAGAACACUUUGCUUUGUUCUAAAACGCAUAUGGAGUGUGCUGGGGUAGUGAAAUAAUACUGUUAUUCAGUAUGACAUUUAGAUUACAGGCAUCACUAUUAUAAUCACUGCCACACAGCGGCACAAUGACAGAGCCUGGAGGUGG